rnacentral:rRNA from 1 species
CAGCAGCCGCGGUAAUACGAAGGGUGCAAGCGUUAAUCGGAAUUACUGGGCGUAAAGCGUGCGUAGGCGGUUUGUUAAGUCUGCUGUGAAAUCCCCGGGCUCAACCUGGGAAUGGCAAUGGAUACUGGCGAGCUAGAGUGUGUCAGAGGAUGGUGGAAUUCCCGGUGUAGCGGUGAAAUGCGUAGAGAUCGGGAGGAACAUCAGUGGCGAAGGCGGCCAUCUGGGACAACACUGACGCUGAGGCACGAAAGCGUGGGGAGCAAACAGGAUUAGAUACCCCCGUAGUCCCUGUCUCUUAUAC